rnacentral:rRNA from 1 species
GUGGGGAAUAUUGGACAAUGGGCGAAAGCCUGAUCCAGCCAUGCCGCGUGUGUGAAGAAGGUCUUCGGAUUGUAAAGCACUUUAAGUUGGGAGGAAGGGCAGUAAGUUAAUACCUUGCUGUUUUGACGUUACCGACAGAAUAAGCACCGGCUAACUUCGUGCCAGCAGCCGCGGUAAUACGAAGGGUGCAAGCGUUAAUCGGAAUUACUGGGCGUAAAGCGCGCGUAGGUGGUUUUGUAAGUUGGAGGUGAAAUCCCCGGGCUCAACCUGGGAACUGCCUCCAAAAAUGCAUGACUAGAGUACGGUAGAGGGUAGUGGAAUUUCCUGUGUAGCGGUGAAAUGCGUAGAUAUAGGAAGGAACACCAGUGGCGAAGGCGACUACCUGGACUGAUACUAACACUGAGGUGCGAAAGCGUGGGGAGCAAACAGGAUUAGAAACCCGGGUAGUCC